rnacentral:lncRNA from 1 species
CGAGCUUUAAACCACACGUACCAAAUAAACUUGGCGACCGCUGCGUGCCACCUGUUCCUCGGACUCUUCAUUUCUCUCCCCGUCUCUCUUCCUCUCUCUCGAUUUCUCUGGAGGCCAAAGCUAAGACCAAGAACCCAAACCAACUGCAUCGCUACGAUUCUCUCGCAACUCGCUGCGCGUGAGAUUUCAUUGCACAAUAGGGUAGAUCCACCUCAAUCUCCUCUCUAAAAUUUGUUACACCCCUGUCUCACUCGAUUCCAUUCUCUUUUUCCUCGCUUCAGAACAAGGAAAGGUAUCCACAAGACGAAAGAAGGGAAUUCCCAGAUGAGGUCGAUUGUCUCGCGUUUGAUCUACUCAAAGUCCUCCAUCUCUCGAUUAUAGUAAGCUCACUGUUUAACCAUUUCUUGUAAUUCUGUAAUCUGAUAAAAUUCAUUUUCUUUUAUGUCUUUGCUUGAAUAAUUUGUGCCA